UGUGUGUGUGUGUGCGUUUUCUCACGGUGUGAUGUAUAUUUCAGUGAAUGCCAGUAAAGUCCAGUGUUGGAGAGCUGUCUGUGCUAGCUAGCUCUGGAACAAACACGCCGCAAGCAACAGUAAUCAAUAUGUAACUUUCCUCAUCCUCAGAGAAAUCCCCGCUGUCCCCAGGCACCCAUGCAAGGAAAGUCACUUGAUUAUGAAAGUGUUUCAGAAGAAAAGCAGACGCGGGUGGAGAGAGAGGCAGUGUCUCGAAGGAGGGAACAAGGCUCUCUUAAGACAUGUUUUGCAGCUCCCUGAAACCGAAAUCUGGUUGAACAGUAUUUAGAAUUCUACCUUUUAACCAUUUCCUGUCACAGCCCACAUUCAAGCUACUUUAGAAUCUCAAAGCUUGCUUUUGCCUGAACUGCUUUCCCAAACAUCCACAAGUCAGGACCAGUUUUGCUUCCGAUUUAGCAGUUCUGGAAAAGAGUUAAGGGAGACAAAGGAAAACAAUCGGUUGAAAUAGAGAAGAAAGGGGAAGCUCCUUCCACCUAUACCAACCUGCCCUGGCACAUCAAGCUUCAACAGGACUAGGUGCAUCCCCUCACACUGAGGUCAGUCAAAGCAGCACAGCUAAGGGAGAGGGAAUUCUUUAUUUCACUGAAGUUUCUUGGAUCUCUGAAAUUAUAGAGUUCCACAAGUAACUGAUUGCUUUUUCCUACUUUUUCUUGCUUCCAACAAUUAGAUGGAGAGUAAAUAAACCAUCACCUCGAGUAGAAUAAUAGCAUGCUUGGUAUAAGCCUAUGAAUAAUGCUUUUCUAAACAUAGUGUCGGGAAGGCAAGUAAUGAGAAAUAAAUGAAUUAAUUAAUUUAUG
rnacentral:sRNA from 1 species